AACGAACGCUGGCGGCAAGCUUAACACAUGCAAGUCGAACGGACCAUACACGCAGCUUGCUGCGUGUAUGGUUAGUGGCAGACGGGUGAGUAAUGCAUAGGAAUCUACCUAGUAGUAUGGGAUAGCCACUAGAAAUGGUGGGUAAUACUGUAUAAUCCCUGCGGGGGAAAGAUUUAUCGCUAUUAGAUGAGCCUAUGUCAGAUUAGCUAGUUGGUGGGGUAAUGGCCUACCAAGGCGGUGAUCUGUAGCUGGUCUGAGAGGAUGAUCAGCCACACUGGAACUGAGACACGGUCCAGACUCCUACGGGAGGCAGCAGUGGGGAAUAUUGGACAAUGGGCGCAAGCCUGAUCCAGCUAUGCCGCGUGAGUGAGGAAGGCCUUAGGGUUGUAAAACUCUCUCAGUAGGGAAGAUAAUGACGGUACCUACAGAAGAAGUCC
rnacentral:rRNA from 1 species